AAUGAACGCUGGCGGCGUGCCUAACACAUGCAAGUCGUGCGCGAAAGGGGCUUCGGCCCCGAGUAGAGCGGCAGACGGGUGAGUAACACGUGGGUAACCUGCCCAGAAGUGGGGGAUAACCUGGGGAAACUCGGGCUAAUACCGCAUACGUUCGCGGGGUUCUGCUCCGCGAGGAAAGCCGGCCUAUGCUUGCAAGCUGGCGCUUUUGGAGGGGCCCGCGGCUGAUUAGCUUGUUGGUGGGGUAACGGCCUACCAAGGCGACGAUGGUUAGCUGGUCUGAGAGGAUGAUCAGCCACACUGGAACUGAGACACGGUCCAGACUCCUACGGGAGGCAGCAGUGAGGAAUAUUGCGCAAUGGGGGCAACCCUGACGCAGCAACGCCGCGUGAGUGAGGAAGGUUUUCGGACUGUAAAGCUCUGUCGAGCGGGAAGAAGGUGUACCAUGGCUAAUAUCCAUGAUAUUUGACGGUACCGCUAGAGGAAGCACCGGCUAACUCCG
rnacentral:rRNA from 1 species